GGCUGAACUGAAUAACAUCCCCUGGCCUCCCCACUACCCACUAGGUAUACACUUUCAGUUACACAGGUUCUAGAACGCGAUAGUAUAGUAUCGUAUCUACAGUUAACGAUACCAGAUUGUAUAGUUAAAAAUUUGUUAGGAGAGUCCAUCUCAUGUUAAAUAUUCCCACUACAAUAGAAACAAGUCUUCCUGAAGUUUAUCUCUAAGAAGAAAGUGUAGGUUGAAUUGUCCCAUACACAGUUGUAUCCCCUUGAGAGAAGCAAUUGUUCCUGGUCCCUGGGAGUCUCAGCUUCCUGAAUGGCCUCUGGCCUGAGAAGGAAUUCCUUGUGCCCAGAAUCUGGCAGGCUGACUUGGCUGGCGUGGCUUCUGCAUCAGUCAGGGUCCCAGCAGAAAACAGAUGGCUCACUUGCUGGGUAACUGAGGAGGGUUUAAUACAGGACUUGUUCUCAAAGACAUAGGCUGGGUUUGAGAAAUCCGCAAGGCUCUUUUUUACAAUAGCCAAGAAGUGGAAGCAACUCAAGUGUCCAUUGAUAGCUGAAUGGAUAAACAAAAUGUGGUAUAGACAUAUCCUGGAAUAUUAUUCAGAUUUAAAAAGGAAGGAAAUUCUGACGCAGCCUGCAAUAUGGAUGAAUCUUGAGGACAUCAUGGUAUGUGAAAAAACCUGACACAAAAGGAUAAAUAUUGUUUGAUUUUACUGAUAAAAGGUACCUGGAGUAACUGGAUUCAGUUACUGGAUAUGGAAAAUAGAAUAGUAGCGGCCAGACUCUAGGGGCAGAGCAAGAGUUUUGGUUUUGUGGGAUGAAAGGAGCCUGGGGAUGCAUGGUGGCGUUGGUUAUACAACAGUGUGACUGUAUGUAAUGCCA
rnacentral:lncRNA from 1 species